rnacentral:rRNA from 1 species
CAGUAGCCGCGGUAAUACGAAGGGUGCAAGCGUUACUCGGAAUUACUGGGCGUAAAGCGUGCGUAGGCGGUGAGUUAAGUCUGCUGUGAAAUCCCCGGGCUCAACCUGGGAAUGGCAGUGGAUACUGGCUCGCUAGAGUGUGUUAGAGGAUGGUGGAAUUCCCGGUGUAGCGGUGAAAUGCGUAGAGAUCGGGAGGAACAUCAGUGGCGAAGGCGGCCAUCUGGGACAACACUGACGCUGAGGCACGAAAGCGUGGGGAGCAAACAGGAUUAGAUACCCCCGUAGUCCCUGUCUCUUAUAA